CCUCCACAUGAGUGUUUGUGUCCUGAAAUGAGGGAAAAAAAAACCCACCUCUUAAAAGAGGGUUACUUUUUUUGCUGAUCCUAUUUAAAGUAAUCUUUCUCCUCACUGAGAACGUUCCCUUGGCGUUACUGCGGCUUUCCCCUCACUGAGGAUGUGCUCCUGGUGUAACUGCAGCUUUGUCCUCACUGAAAAAGUUCUUACAAAGCAUUUGUGUGGAUGACAGUGUUCGGUGGUCAUUCCACCCCUAAUCCCUGUGUGCUUUCAUGGCAAUUGCCCUCACGCCUUCACUGAGGAAAGACCAGCUGUUAGGAUGCACUAAUUGCAACAACUAGUUGUGACUGUAACCCAUUAAGGUUGGCACCUGAAAAGGUCUCUCUGAAAACUUUUAUCAGUAGCUCCGUAUUUUUCCAAAAUAACGUCUUCUCUAAUCUUAACAGUAGGCAUACAACACAGCAAGCAGGGAAGCGAUUGCUCCCAUUACCACCAAAGCCCUUGCCGCAGACCAACCUGCCUUUGGGGUCUGGAUCCAGGUCUGUUUCUCAGCAUUUUCCACUCCUGUCCUCACUGAGCCGCCUGGAGGCCUGUGACCUUCUGGUGCCUGCUUGACUUCUGCCACCACGGCCAGCUCUGGAGCUUGCUUUGGCUGGAGCGCCUGGAAGAUAUCUGCCUGAGGAGCCCUUAGAAUGGAGUUGGACCCUGCUGCAGGAGGGAUCAUAACAGUAUGGAAGAUGGUUCCCUUUAAAAGAGCUUGCAGCUGGAUACAUGUGACCUUACGAGAAGGAGUGGGAAAGAAUGUGGUGAGAAGCAACCACUAGAUUAUAGAGUCACUGUGAAGAAUUUCAUACUUAUACUUCAAUCAAGUAUACUUACCAGAGGUAUCUUUUGUUUGACAUGAACUUGUGUUUCACUUCCCAGGGCAGGUUCACUUCAGUUUUCUCCAAUGGACAACCACUUUAAUCGGUGACCUUUGCUGUAAGUUGCAUUGUCUAGUUUAAAAUUUGGGUUCUUGUUAUGCCUUUAUCCCCUAGCUUAAAGAGCAUGUUAGUACCUGCUGUUAUAUCCCUGUGAUGGUACUUCCAUAAUGUGAUCAUAUUGCCUCUUUUCUUGAAAGGCUGAAUAGAUUGGGCACCUGAAAUCUCUCCCCGGAGAGGAAUUAUUUAAAAUCAUUUUUAGGUUUCCUUUCUUAACCUUCUCCGGUAUUUCAAUAUCCUUUGAAAAAUGCAGAUACCAAGACUGGGCAGCUUCUAGUAUCUGUCUCGGUGAUGCUUCAUGCAGAGAGAAAAUUGCUUCUCUACUCCUACUUGUUACUCCUCUGGAACAUCUGAGGAUCGCUGCAUCCUCUUCGGGCCCUUUCUUUCCUUUCCUUAGGAGUAUAGCACAAUUCCUUCCCACUCUGCCUUUGUGUGCAGGAUAACAUACAUACAUACCAUUCUGCUCCUGAGAGGGUGGUGGUUUCAUUCAUAUUUUUGCAUUGAGUUAUACUUCAACUAAGCUCAUCUUACCUGGUUCUUCAUGUGUUACAUAUGUAAUGAGAAUGCCAUGUGUCGUUAUAUAACACACCUUUCAAAAAUCUGUUAUGACCAUGGCUGUGUAACUUUACUAACCACACAGAUAAUUUCCUCUCAAAAACAUAAAUCAUGUUUUCUUACAUCCCUUAAAACAAACAAAUAUACACUGUCUGGCAUCUACACAACUGAUUUUUUUUCUAUUGUCUUUUCGUUGGGGUUUGUUAACACCAGACUGACCAGUCUGUAACUAAGUGGCCACCAUAAUUUGGUUUUCUGGAUCUUUUCAGGAAACUGAGCAGUCAAUCUUUCAAGAUUUUCCUGUUAUGACAAGAUUUACUUCAAGUAGUGUCAGAGAGCUGGGUAUUUUCUCCACCCCCAGCCCACUCUUUUGGGAUUCAUUUGUACCAGUUUUCUGGGUUGGCUGGUUUUUGUAUGUUCUUAGGAGUUGCUUCUUAAUCUCUAUUUUAUGAGUCAAUGAUCUGAGAAAUACAUUCUCCUUUUCUUUCCAGAUAUAAAACUGAAAUAUUUAUCACCCAUUUAUACCUCUUCUGCCUUCUCUUCUAAUAAUACUUCUUACUCUUCCAAAUACACAAAUGCUUUAUUGCCCCUAGCCCUGCCAGACAUGGAUUUUUCCCUGCUGGAUUUUGCUGCCUCUAUAAAAUCUCAACACUUUUUAAUUAAUGUUGAUUGCCCUCUACUUUCCUUUCUCAACAUUAGUUUUACAUGGUAAGUUUUUCAUCUUAAUUGCUGACUUCACUUCUCUAGGAAUGGGCUUUCAAGCAAAAUUGUCCUCUUGAUUCCUGGUAGAUUUGCAGCUUUUUGGUAACCCACUAUACUUCCAUAUACAUUUCUCUAUUUUUUUCCCAUAUUUGUAACUCUUCCUCAGAAAAUCACUUUAUUUCCCCAAAGUUUAAAAAAAAAAAAAAAAAAACUAUUCAAAGCAGCAUGUGUGUGUAAAACAUGGUUAAGGCUGUUGACAGAAGACAGCUUAGAUCAAUGGCAGCUAUGAAUAUCAACUGGAAACGGGAAAAUAUUGCCACUAGUGAGAUACUUAUGCAUCUCAUCUCAGCCAAAGAGUAUGCCAUUUUUAGCAUCACAUUUUAAAAACAAGGUGGCUAAAAUAGGCAAUAUGUGUUAAUCUUGUGAGAUGUCCUUCUGUUACUGAACAUACUUAUGGAAAAGCAGAAUUUUUGCUGCUCACUUGCACUAAGAUGGACAGAGUCAGUUGCUAUCUGACCUUGUUUUAUCUUGGUAUGAAAGUCUUGGCCAAAACUCUUUUUGGGUGUUUUAUAUGUUAAAAUACACAAAUCUGGGCUUUCACUGAGCUAGGAUUAGGCUAUUCUUUUCUGCCUGUGUCUGUUGAGUCUGAGCGUUUCCAGAGAGCUGCUUUGUCAUUUUUGGAAGCUUUUGCUUUAGACGUUGUGCUCAUGCCAGAGCUCACCUGAUUUUGGUAAACGUGCUUGACAGUGACAUUCACAGCUGUAUAGGAAGUUACUCUGUCUGUACUUUAAAACCUGUACACAUGCGUUUAAAUAUACGUAACUUUGGAAGAGACACAAGUGACUAUCCCUGUGUGGAUUUUUCCCUGCUGGCUUUUGCUGCUCGGGACUACAGCUGUACAUUACAACGUUCAUGUUUGCAAGAGCAACAGCACUAUUCUUAAGAUGUUUCACAGACCUGUUUUUAUGAGGAAUCUAGCUCUGGCCCUAGACCACCUACCCCUCCGUGCUGCCGGUGGCCAGGAAAGCGGACAGACGUUUGGGCAACAGAGGCAGCAAGAUUUCUAAUUGGUUUGCCCGGUCGUACAGCAGUCAAAAAGCCAAACCCAACCCAGGCCAGGCCCGAAGGAAGACCCAGAGGCAGGCCGGCCUAACGGCGAG